GUGAGGGCAUAUAGCCCUCGCUUUUCUGUACCGUAAGGUGGUACAGGAACAAGGACUGGGCAAGACCGGUGCCAGCCGCCGCGGUAAUACCGGCAGUCCAAGUGAUGGCCGAUAUUAUUGGGCCUAAAGCGUCCGUAGCUUGCUGUGUAAGUCCAUUGGGAAAUCGACCAGCUCAACUGGUCGGCGUCCGGUGGAAACUACCCGGCUUGGGGCCGAAAGACUCAACGGGUACGUCCGGGGUAGGAGUGAAAUCCUGUAAUCCUGGACGGACCACCAAUGGGGAAACCACGUUGAGAGACCGGACCCGACAGUGAGGGACGAAAGCCAGGGUCUCGAACCGGAUUAAAUACCCGGGUAGUCCUGGCUGUAAACAAUGCUCGCUAGGUAUGUCACGCGCCAUGAGCACGUGAUGUGCCGUAGUGAAGACAAUAAGCGAGCCGCCUGGGAAGUACGUCCGCAAGGAUGAAACUUAAAGGAAUUGGCA
rnacentral:rRNA from 1 species